rnacentral:rRNA from 1 species
UCGUCUCCUAAGGCGAGGCCGAAAGGCGUAGUCGAUGGGAAACGGGUUAAUAUUCCCGUACUUCUUACAAUUGCGAUGGGGGGACGGAGAAGGCUAGGUGGGCCUGGCGACGGUUGUCCAGGUUCAAGUGCGUAGGCUUAAGAGUUAGGUAAAUCCGGCUCUUUCUAAGGCUGAGACACGACGUCGAGCACCUACGGGUGUGAAGUCAUUGAUGCCAUGCUUCCAGGAAAAGCCUCUAAGCUUCAGAUUGUAAGGAAUCGUACCCCAAACCGACACAGGUGGUCGGGUAGAGAAUACCAAGGCGCUUGAGAGAACUCGGGUGAAGGAACUAGGCAAAAUGGUACCGUAACUUCGGGAGAAGGUACGCUCUUGAUGGUGAAGUCCCUUGCGGAUGGAGCUGACGAGAGUCGCAGAUACCAGGUGGCUGCAACUGUUUAUUAAAAACACAGCACUGUGCAAAAUCGUAAGAUGACGUAUACGGUGUGACGCCUGCCCGGUGCCGGAAGGUUAAUUGAUGGGGUUAGACUUCGGUCGAAGCUCUUGAUCGAAGCCCCGGUAAACGGCGGCCGUAACUAUAACGGUCCUAAGGUAGCGAAAUUCCUUGUCGGGUAAGUUCCGACCUGCACGAAUGGCGUAAUGAUGGCCACGCUGUCUCCACCCGAGACUCAGUGAAAUUGAAAUCGCUGUGAAGAUGCAGUGUACCCGCGGCUAGACGGAAAGACCCCGUGAACCUUUACUACAGCUUGGCACUGAACAUUGACCCUACAUGUGUAGGAUAGGUGGGAGGCUUUGAAGCACGUACGCCAGUAUGUGUGGAGCCGUCCUUGAAAUACCACCCUUGUAGUGUUGAUGUUCUAACGUCGACCCCUUAUCGGGGUUGCGGACAGUGCCUGGUGGGUAGUUUGACUGGGGCGGUCUCCUCCCAAAGAGUAACGGAGGAGCACGAAGGUGGGCUAAUCACGGUUGGACAUCGUGAGGUUAGUGCAAUGGCAUAAGCCCGCUUGACUGCGAGAAUGACAAUUCGAGCAGGUGCGAAAGCAGGUCAUAGUGAUCCGGUGGUUCUGAAUGGAAGGGCCAUCGCUCAACGGAUAAAAGGUACUCCGGGGAUAACAGGCUGAUACCGCCCAAGAGUUCAUAUCGACGGCGGUGUUUGGCACCUCGAUGUCGGCUCAUCACAUCCUGGGGCUGAAGUCGGUCCCAAGGGUAUGGCUGUUCGCCAUUUAAAGUGGUACGCGAGCUGGGUUUAGAACGUCGUGAGACAGUUCGGUCCCUAUCUGCCGUGGGCGUUGGAAGAUUGAAGGGGGCUGCUCCUAGUACGAGAGGACCGGAGUGGACGAACCUCUGGUGUUCGGGUUGUGUCGCCAGACGCAUUGCCCGGUAGCUAAGUUCGGAAUCGAUAACCGCUGAAAGCAUCUAAGCGGGAAGCGAGCCCUGAGAUGAGUCUUCCCUGAUACUUUAAGUAUCCUAAAGGGUUGUCGGAGACUACGACGUUGAUAGGUCAGGUGUGUAAGUGCUGUGAGGCAUUGAGCUAACUGAUACUAAUUGCCCGUGAGGCUUAACCAUACAACACCCAAGGGGUUU